GUCUUAGCAGGACAUACACUAAAACUGGAAUGACGCAGAAAUUAGUAUGGCCCCUGUGCAAGGACGAAGGGAAAACUCGUGAAACAGUACUUAUUUUU
rnacentral:snRNA from 1 species